UCGUCAGAAAUUCCAUUAGCGCGAAACCCCACUGCUGCCUCUUCCACGCGUCUGUGUGUGCAUAUCGGAGAAGCUUCAUGGCGGAUUCUUUGCUCCAACGGUCAAAAAGGGUGAGGAUCUGGAGAUCAUCAUUUGCAGGUGGAAUGCGAGAAAGGAACUAUAAUUGAGAAACUCACAGAAGAAACUCUGAGAUAUUGGAAUCAUCUCACGGAACUCCUAUCCAUAUGUGAAGCUCAAAGACAAAUUGGAGAGGCUUACUUGAAUGAAACAAGCUCUAGGUCUCAUCAAAUUCUUAGGGUGGUAUCAGUUGGUCAAAGACUUAAAGAAGGUUGCCAUAUAAACCAUAUGAAACACAAGCUCCUAGUGAUGAAGAUGAAGUAGUAUAUAUUUUCAUAACUUCUUUUUUUGUGUAUGGUAAUAGUUCGUUGUUAGAAGUACUAUGUACAUGAUCAUAAUUUUUGUUGUAAAUAAUUUUGAUGUUUAAAUAUAUUUUCAAUUUGAAAUUUA